UAGUGGCGGACGGGUGAGUAACGCGUGGGGAAUCUGCCCUCAGGAGGGGGAUAACGGUUGGAAACGACCGCUAAUACCCCAUAUGCCGAGAGGUGAAACGAAAUUCGCCUGAGGAUGAGCCCGCGUCUGAUUAGCUAGUUGGUGGGGUAAAGGCCUACCAAGGCAUCGAUCAGUAGCUGGUCUGAGAGGAUGAUCAGCCACACUGGGACUGAGACACGGCCCAGACUCCUACGGGAGGCAGCAGUGGGGAAUUUUCCGCAAUGGGCGCAAGCCCGACGGAGCAACGCCGCGUGAGGGAUGAAGGCCUCUGGGCUGUAAACCUCUUUUCUCAAGGAAGAAGAACUGACGGUACUUGAGGAAUAAGCCACGGCUAA
rnacentral:rRNA from 1 species